UAAGUCACCAUAUUGUUCGCCCGAGUACUACAAGCGCUAGCUUGAAACCCAAAGGACUUGGCGGUAUCCCACACCCACCUAGAGGAGCCUGUUCUAUAACCGAUAAUCCCCGUUUAACCUCACCACUUCUUGCCAUCACCGUCUAUAUACCGCCGUCGUCAGCUCACCCUGUGAAGGGUUAAAAGUAAGCAAAAAGAAUUUAAACUCCAAACGUCAGGUCGAGGUGUAGCAGAUGAAGUGGGAAGAAAUGGGCUACAUUUUUUUACCAAAAAACACGAAUGGUGAACUGAAAACACGCCUAAAGGUGGAUUUAGCAGUAAGAGAAGAUUAGAGUACUUCCCUGAAUUUGGCUCUGGGAUGCGCACACACCGCCCGUCACUCUCCUCAAAAACUACCUAUCUUUUUAUAAAUACAUUACUUCAACAAGAGGAGGCAAGUCGUAACAUGGUAAGUGUACUGGAAAGUGCACUUGGAAUC
rnacentral:rRNA from 1 species